rnacentral:ribozyme from 11 species
GGGGUGAAAUGGCCGGUGCGGUAAAGCAGGUGCACCGCCACGUUGGCAACCAAGUAUGCCCAGAAACCCCCU